rnacentral:ncRNA from 1 species
CUAUCCUUCUCCUGUCGCUGCCAAUCCAGCGACCGGGCCUGGAAACCUGUGGA